UUUCCGUAGGUGAACCUGCGGAAGGAUCAUUGAAGUUAUAGUCCCCCGGCCCCUCCGGGCUGGGGUCUUCUAUACCACCCUUUGUUUAUUACACCUUUGUUGCUUUGGCAGGCCUGCCCUCGGGCUGCUGGCUCCGGCCGGCUCGUGCCUGCCAGAGGACCUAAACUCUGUUUGUAUAUGAAGUCUGAGUACUAUAUAAUAGUUAAAACUUUCAACAACGGAUCUCUUGGUUCUG
rnacentral:misc_RNA from 1 species